CGGAGGGUGCAAGCGUUAUCCGGAUUUACUGGGUUUAAAGGGUGUGUAGGCGGACUAUUAAGUCAGUGGUGAAAUCCCGAGGCUCAACCUCGGAACUGCCCUUGAUACUAUUAGUCUUGAAUGUUGUUGAGGUGGGCGGAACGGGUCAUGUAGCGGUGAAAUGCAUAGAUAUGACCCGGAACACCGAUUGCGAAGGCAGCCCGCUAAGCAACUAUUGACGCUGAGGCACGAAAGCGUGGGGAUCAAACAGGAUUAGAUACCCUGGUAGUCCACGCCCUAAACGAUGAUUACUCGACGUUGGCGAUACACUGAUCAGCGUCCAAGCGAAAAGCAUUAAGUAAAUCCAACCUGGGAAGUACGUUCGCAAGAAUGA
rnacentral:rRNA from 1 species